UACGUAGGGUGCGAGCGUUAAUCGGAAUUACUGGGCGUAAAGCGUGCGCAGGCGGUUAUAUAAGACAGAUGUAGAAACUCCCCGGGCUCAACCUGGGAACUGCAUUUGUGACUGUAUAGCUAGAGUACGGCAGAGGGGGAUGGAAUUCCGCGUGUAGCAGUGAAAUGCGUAGAUAUGCGGAGGAACACCGAUGGCGAAGGCAAUCCCCCUGGGCCUGUACUGACGCUC
rnacentral:rRNA from 1 species